GCAAACUUGGUCAUUUAGAGGAAGUAAAAGUCGUAACAAGGUUUCCGUAGGUGAACCUGCGGAAGGAUCAUUACCGAGCGUAGUCCCCGGGUACCCCCCGGGGACGCACCUCCCACCCCCUGUGGACUAUCCUGUUGCUUUGGUAGGCCGGCCCUCCGGGGCCCCCGUGUGCCUGCCGGAGCCCCCCAAACCCGACCAACGCGUGAGCAGUCCGAGUAAUAUCAUAAUCAGAUAAAACUUUCAACAAUGGAUCUCUUGGCUCUGGCAUCGAUGAAGAACGCAGC
rnacentral:misc_RNA from 1 species